rnacentral:tRNA from 1 species
UCAUUAGAUGACUGAAAGCAAGUAAUGGUCUCUUAAACCAAAUAAUAGUAAAUUAGCAACUACUUCUAAUGG